AACGAACGCUGGCGGCAUGCCUAACACAUGCAAGUCGAACGAGGCCUUCGGGUCUAGUGGCGCACGGGUGCGUUAUUUUUUGGAACCUGCCUUUAGGUUCGGAAUAACCCAGAGAAAUUUGAGCUAAUACCGGAUGAUGUCUUCGGACCAAAGAUUUAUCGCCUUUAGAUGGGCCCGCGUUGGAUUAGCUAGUUGGUGGGGUAAAGGCCUACCAAGGCGACGAUCCAUAGCUGGUCUGAGAGGAUGAUCAGCCACACUGGGACUGAGACACGGCCCAGACUCCUACGGGAGGCAGCAGUGGGGAAUAUUGGACAAUGGGCGAAAGCCUGAUCCAGCAAUGCCGCGUGAGUGAUGAAGGACUUAGGGUUGUAAAGCUCUUUUACCCGAGAUGAUAAUGACAGUAUCGGGAGAAUAAGCUCCGGCUAACUCCGUG
rnacentral:rRNA from 1 species